UGAAAGGCAAUGAAGGUGUUCAGUAGAGAGCUACACUGCUUACAGAGAGAGAGGAUUAUCAGCUGCAAGUCCUCUUAAGAAAAGAAGGCAAUCGAAUUUCCCACCGGAGCUGCAUAUCUGAAAUGAACGUUAUAGCAAGUAAGAUAUGACGUAUGUGCACGUUACGCAUUAAGUGAGAGUUUAAGAAUUGUUUCUUAAGAAGCAGGGUGGUACCGCGGAAUAUUUCGUCCCUAUG
rnacentral:ncRNA from 1 species